GCUGCCCCUGGACCCUUUUUUUUUUUGUUGUUCCAGAAACUUUUUGUCUCUGGCCCUUCAGCUCCACAACCUAUAUCCUGGUUAACACCUUUGAUUUUUUUCCAGGGUGCUUUUUUCUGACCUCCUCCUUUACACAAGAAUUUCCAUUGCAGCAGGAAGGUUUCUAUUAGCAACAUGAUAUUCCUCCAGUCUUAGUCUGUAAUUGCUCCUGCCCCUGGGUGGGGCUGGACGAAUGGUAAAGAUAUUAAGACUAUGUCUGCAAUAAUUUAUUGGGUUCGCUCUUGCCAGGGCUUGCCAAGAAAUCCCACAUAAACCAUAACUAGGGAUGUGAAGGCUAGUUGGAGUAGGCUGGUUGUGAGCUUUCUUUGUAUAGGUUCAAACCCUCACACUCUGGGAAAUCUCAAGAUGUGAAGUCAGUCUAGGCUUGAAAUGGGCAAUAUAAGAAUCUCCUGGACUGCUCUACAUUCAUAGCCUCACAAAAAUGCUAUGAAUUAUAAAAGAUAUUCUAAGUUUCUGAGAUUCAAGAUAGAGAAUCACCAAGGACAAAGUUGCUAUGGGCAUCAUGCCCGACUAAUGGGGGUCAUGAGCCCCUACUGUGGCAUUUUGGUACUCCUGAGAUUGAACAUUUUUUGCUCUUCCAGCAAAAAUUGUGAAUGGAAGAAGAUCCAGCCACUGUCCCGAGCUCACUUGAGACACCAGAUAUUUGAAAAAGAGUCUAAUGGAUAUGUUAUCUUAUCUACUCAUCUGGAUUUUCCAAGCUCUGUUUCUGUCAAGCCAUUAGAAAGUCAAAUACUCAAAGGGCAUUAUCUCAGCUCCUUGAAGAAAUACCUUCACUGAGUUGUCAUUUAAUGUUCUGCCCUCUGUUCUUCUAGGCUGUCAAUAUGAGUCCCUUGCUGCUGACCAGCAUUUCUGCAGCUUCUGUGAAACUGAGGUUGAAGACAUCAUUCAUUAUGCUAGCUACUCACAGAUAAAAUGGACGUUUCCAAAAAUAGUUCAGAAAAAGGCCAAGCAAGAAGAUUCUCUUCGCUGACCCAAGUUGCUCCUGGCCUCCAGGAUGGAGAUGACCAGCUGUGAAUUGCCCAGCAUGUUGUCAUGGAAAAAACCAAGCCAAACCAAAACCCCUGUCCUAGCUCUGUCACUUACUGUGUUACCUUCCUCUCUGGACCUCAGUGGCCUGAUCUACAAAACAAAAGAACUGGGUUAUGUGACCUGUAUAAUUCUCUUGAGCUCCAGAAAAAGUCUAUGAUGUAUGGUGAGUUCUUAUUCUAAACUAAUUGAUAAUUAUCUAAUAUUAUAAUUACCUAACAUUAUAAUUAAAUAUCUAAUAUUAUAAUUACCUAACAUUAUAAUUAAAUAUCUAAUAUUAUAAUGAACUAAUUAUCCAAUAGUUUAUACAAAAGAAUUUAGAAAGCACCCAUGUCAACUUAGCUUAGAUUUAGCUGUUCACAAAACAGCAAUACACAGCCUGUGACUACUGCUAAUAUUAUAUGGGCCCUGAAAGAGAGCCCAUAUAAGAGAUGUGUGUGUGUGCUUGGCAAAAGGAUGUAUUGUACAUUAGAAUGGUUUUUUUUUUUUGGUUUUGGGGUUUUUUUUGGUGAGGCAAUUGGGGUUAAGUGACUUGCCCAGGGUCACACAGCUAGUAAGUGUUAAAUGUCUGAGGCCGGAUUUGAACUCAGGUCCUCCUGAAUCCAGGGCCGGUGCUCUAUCCACUGUGCAACCUAGCUGCCCCUGUAAAUUAGAAUAUAAAAUGCUAGUGGGCAGGGCUAAAUCACUUCUGUGUUUGUGUCUCUGGUGCCUAGCAUAGUACUUGGCACAAAGUAAGUACCUACUAAAUGCCUAUUGAUUGAAAGAUACAAAACUAGGACUGUCUCUAGAUAGGACUUUUGAUUACGUUGUUUACUUAAGACUUAAAUUCAUUGUUGGAGUAGGAUUGACAAAUGUCCACAGACAGAUAGCCUUUGCUUACAAAUAGGAAUCAGGGUAAUUCCUUCUAUUUUAGUGUUUUCUUUGUUUACAUGAGAAAAAACCCCUACCAUCUAGAUCUGAAAAUGG